GGUUGUGUGGUCUAGUGGUAUGAUUCUCGCUUAGGGUUCACCCUGAGUUCCACUGGAAACAUGCGAGAGGUCCCGCGUUCAAUCCGCGGCACAACCC